rnacentral:rRNA from 1 species
CACGUAGGGGCCAAGCGUUGUCCGGAUUUAUUUGGGCGUAAAGAGCUCGUAGGACGGGUUCGACAAGUCGGGUGUGAAAACUCCGGGCUCAACCCGGAGACGCCACCCGAUACUGUCGUGACUGGAGUCCGGUAGGGGAGUGGGGAAUUCCUGGUGUAGCGGUGAAAUGCGCAGAUAUUAGGAAAGAACACCAGUGGCGAAGGCGGCUCUCUGGGACGGUACUGGACGCUGAGACGCGAAAAGCGUGGGGAGCGAACAGG